rnacentral:rRNA from 1 species
UACGUAGGGUGCGAGCGUUAAUCGGAAUUACUAGGCGUAAAGCGUGCGCAGGCGGUGAGCUGUGUCCGAUGUGAAAGCCCCGGGCUUAACCUGGGAAUGGCAUUGGAAACUGGCUUGCUGGAGUGCGGCAGAGGGGGGUGGAAUUCCGCGUGUAGCAGUGAAAUGCGUAGAGAUGCGGAGGAACACCGAUGGCGAAGGCAGCCCCCUGGGUCGACACUGACGCUCAGGCACGAAAGCGUGGGGAGCAAACAGG